rnacentral:rRNA from 1 species
GAGUAACGCGUAUGCAACCUGCCCUUCACAGGGGGAUAACCGGGAGAAAUUCCGACUAAUACCGCAUACGUCCUCCGGGGGCAUCCCCGGGGGAUGAAAGAGUUAUCGGUGAAGGAUGGGCAUGCGUGAUAUUAGGUAGUUGGCGGGGCAACGGCCCACCAAGCCCACGAUAUCUAGGGGUUCUGAGAGGAAGGUCCCCCACAUUGGUACUGAGACACGGACCAAACUCCUACGGGAGGCAGCAGUGAGGAAUAUUGGUCAAUGGACGAGAGUCUGAACCAGCCAAGUCGCGUGAAGGAAGACGGAUCUAUGGUUUGUAAACUUCUUUAGUGCGGGAACAAAGCGGCGUCGUGACGCCGGAUGAGUGUACCGCAAGAAUAAGCAUCGGCUAACUCCGUGCCAGCAGCCGCGGUAAUACGGAGGAUGCGAGCGUUAUCCGGAUUUAUUGGGUUUAAAGGGAGCGCA